UACUCAGGUACACAGCUCCUUCGCCUGUCUCAGUCGCCAUAAGUUGCCACAUAAUAUAAAAUAAUGCAGCAUAACGGUGCAGGACAACACCACAGUGGAAGACCCAUUCACAGUAAAGAUGAAUUUGAGCUGUACCCACCAGGGACAUCACACAUGCCACAAAAGUGGGAGGAGAGGUGUAAGUAUGUGGGAGUUCAAGCUGAGGUAACACAAGACAUGUUGGUAUUUUUGAUGAAAAUUGGGUGAUUGACAUAGCACUGAGAAUCAAUAUGUUUACCACUUCACUCAGUUGAUAAUUAUGUGGGAUGAUUUCAUUGACGAGCACAAAUGAAAUCUGUGAUGGGAAUGCACAGCCACUGGAGACAAGUGCUUAAUUAUGUGAACAUUCACUUUGACUAUAUAUUCUCCAAGGUAGACACAAAAAUGCUUAUUCACUGUUAUUGUAGCAAAAAUGCUCUAAAUAAGUGCAUAAUAAACUAAAGAUACAUAA